rnacentral:ribozyme from 1 species
UCUUCUGGUCGUCUUCAGGCAGAUCAGGUCGGGUUGUACUCUGUUACUGCCUCCAAGUUUGCCGUUGCCAUGGCCAACACCAUGAGGA